rnacentral:rRNA from 1 species
GAUGAACGCUGGCGGCAUGCCUAACACAUGCAAGUCGAUCGGUAAGGCUCUUCGGAGUACACGAGAGGCGGACGGCUGAGUAACGCGUAGGAACACACCCUGCAGCGAGGGAUAAGACACCGAAAGGUGUUCUAAUACCGCAUACGGUCUUCGGAUUAAAGCAUUUAUGCGCUGAAGGAGUGGCCUGCGUCAUAUUAGAUAGUUGGUGAGGUAAUGGCUCACCAAGUCGAUGAUGUGUAGCUGGUCUGAGAGGAUGAUCAGCCAGACUGGAACUGAGACACGGUCCAGACUCCUACGGGAGGCAGCAGUGAGGAAUAUUUCACAAUGAGCGAAAGCUUGAUGGAGCGAUGCCGCGUGCAGGAUGAAGGCCCUCGGGUUGUAAACUGCUUUUAUAAGAGAAGAUUAUGACGGUAACUUAUGAAUAAGGGACGGCUAACUACGUG